AUUGAACGCUGGCGGCAUGCUUUACACAUGCAAGUCGAACGGUAACAGGCCGCAAGGUGCUGACGAGCGGCGAACGGGCGAGUAAUGCAGCGGAACGUGCCCAGUCGUGGGGGAUAAGUACACGAAAGAGUAGCUAAUACCGCAAACGAUCUAUGGUUGAGAGGGGGGGAGCGGAAGGCCUCGCGCGAGUGGUACGGCCGAUGGCGGAUUAGGUAGUUGGUGGGGUAAAGGCUCACCAAGGCAACGAUCUGUAGCUGGUCUGAGAGGACGACCAGCCACACUGGGACUGAGACACGGCCCAGACUCCUACGGGAGGCAGCAGUGGGGAAUUUUGGACAAUGGGGGCAAGCCUGAUCCAGCAAUGCCGCGUGUAGGAAGAAGGCCUUCGGGUUGUAAACUGCUUUUGUACGGGAAGAAACGGCUCUGGUUAAUACCCGGGGCUACUGACGGUACCGUAAGAAUAAGCACCGGCUAACUACGUG
rnacentral:rRNA from 1 species